AUGAAGAACGGGUUGGUGACUCCAAGGACCACGUUAGGCCUGAGCAGAAGAAACGGACAGGUGGAGACGGGUGGAGACAGGAGGAGACAGGAGGAGACGGGUGGAGACGGGUGGAGACGGGUGGAGAGGUGGAGACGGGUGGAGACGGGUGGAGACGGGUGGAGACGGGUGGAGACGGGUGGAGACAGGUGGAGACGGGAGGAGACGGGAGGAGACGGGUGGGGACGGGUGGGACGGGUGGAGACGGGUGGAGACGGGAGGAGACGGGAGGAGACGGGAGGAGACGGGAGGAGACGGGUGGAGACGGGUGGAGACGGGUGGAGACGGGUGGAGACGGGUGGAGACGGGUGGAGACGGGUGGAGACGGGUGGGACAGGAGGAGACAGGAGGAGACAGGAGGAGACAGGAGGAGACGGGUGGAGACGGGUGGAGACGGGUGGAGACGGGUGGAGACGGGUGGAGACGGGUGGAGACAGGUGGAGACAGGUGGAGACAGGAGGAGACAGGAGGAGACAGGAGGAGACGGGUGGAGACGGGUGGAGACGGGUGGAGACGGGUGGAGACGGGUGGAGACGGGUGGAGACGGGUGGAGACGGGUGGAGACGGGUGGGGACGGGUGGAGACGGGUGGGACGGGUGGAGACGGGAGGAGACGGGUGGAGACGGGUGGAGACGGGUGGAGACGGGUGGAGACGGGUGGAGACGGGUGGAGACGGGUGGAGACGGGUGGAGACGGGUGGAGACGGGUGGAGACAGGAGGAGACAGGUGGAGACAGGUGGAGACAGGUGGAGACAGGAGGAGACAGGUGGAGACAGGUGGAGACAGGUGGAGACAGGGAGGAGACAGGUGGAGACAGGUGGAGACAGGAGGAGACAGGAGGAGACAGGUGGACAGGGUGGAGACAGGAGGAGACAGGAGGAGACAGGUGGGGACAGGUGGAGACAGGUGGAGACAGGAGGAGACAGGAGGGACAGGUGGAGACAGGUGGAGACAGGUGGAGACAGGAGGAGACAGGAGGAGACAGGUGGAGACAGGUGGAGACAGGUGGAGACAGGAGGAGACAGGUGGAGACAGGUGGAGACAGGUGGAGACAGGAGGAGACAGGUGGAGACAGGUGGAGACAGGUGGAGACAGGUGGAGACAGGAGGAGACAGGUGGAGACAGGAGGAGACAGGAGGAGACAGGUGGAGACAGGAGGAGACAGGUGGAGACAGGUGGAGACAGGAGGAGACAGGUGGAGACAGGUGGAGACAGGAGGAGACAGGUGGAGACAGGAGGAGACAGGAGGAGACAGGUGGAGACAGGUGGAGACAGGUGGAGACAGGUGGACAGGAGGAGACAGGAGGAGACAGGAGGAGACAGGAGGAGACAGGUGGAGACAGGAGGAGACAGGUGGAGACAGGAGGAGACAGGAGGAGACAGGAGGAGACAGGUGGAGACAGGUGGAGACAGGUGGAGACAGGUGGAGACAGGAGGAGACAGGAGGAGACAGGUGGAGACAGGUGGAGACAGGUGGGGACAGGAGGAGACAGGUGGGGACAGGUGGAGACAGGAGGAGACAGGUGGAGACAGGUGGAGACAGGUGGAGACAGGAGGAGACAGGAGGAGACAGGUGGAGACAGGAGGAGACAGGAGGAGACAGGUGGAGACAGGUGGAGACAGGUGGAGACAGGUGGAGACAGGAGGAGACAGGUGGAGACAGGAGGAGACAGGAGGAGACAGGAGGAGACAGGUGGAGACAGGAGGAGACAGGAGGAGACAGGUGGAGACAGGUGGAGACAGGUGGGGACAGGAGGAGACAGGUGGGACAGGUGGAGACAGGUGGAGACAGGUGGAGACAGGAGGAGACAGGAGGAGACAGGAGGAGACAGGUGGAGACAGGAGGAGACAGGUGGAGACAGGAGGAGACAGGGGAGACAGGUGGAGACAGGAGAGACAGGUGGAGACAGGAGGAGACAGGAGGAG
rnacentral:lncRNA from 1 species